rnacentral:rRNA from 1 species
UACGUAGGGGGCAAGCGUUGUCCGGAAUCAUUGGGCGUAAAGGGCGCGUAGGCGGUUCUAUAAGUCAGGCGUGAAAUUCCUGGGCUUAACCUGGGGGCUGCGCUUGAGACUGUGGGACUUGAGGUCAGAAGAGGGUCGUGGAAUUCCCAGUGUAGAGGUGAAAUUCGUAGAUAUUGGGAAGAACACCGGUGGCGAAGGCGGCGACCUGGUCUGAUACUGACGCUGAGGCGCGACAGCGUGGGGAGCAAACAGG